rnacentral:rRNA from 1 species
UGCGCAGGCGGUGCGUUAAGUCAGUGGUGAAAUCUCUCGGCUCAACCGAGAAACUGCCAUUGAUACUGGCGUACUUGAGUACGGACGAGGUAGGCGGAAUUUAUGGUGUAGCGGUGAAAUGCAUAGAUACCAUAAAGAACACCGAUAGCGAAGGCAGCUUACUAGACCGUAAAUGACGCUCAUGCACGAAAGCGUGGGGAGCGAACA